rnacentral:lncRNA from 1 species
GGGUGGAGCACAUCUCUGAAACAUACUUGGGCUGUGGUAACCAUUGAGAUGAGUCAGUCUGAAACUACCCUCAAGCUUUUAAAAUAUGUUCUGUUGGCUGUUGAAUCUAAGAACCUUUGGAAAUAAUGGUGGACUGUAGUCAUGGAGGGAACAGUUCCCCAGAUUGUCUGUUCCAUGUAACUAGAAAAGUUAUUUGAUUAAGCCUUCAUCUCCUCACUGGAAAUUAUUGUAAAUAUCUCUGUUCAACAAGUCUUUCUUUGUUAAGCAAAUUAAGUUCAUUUGAAGAUGGGUCCUUUCAGCCAUGGUUCCCUUUCACAAUUUUGUACAUUACCUGGUCAGUGCAAAUUGACCUAAGCACUUCAUAGACUAAAGGCUUAAAUAUCAAAACCUCGGUUGUAUCAAAACAUUAUUUCCUCUGAACCACAGUUUAAAUUUAAGGUUUUCCUUCUCUGGGCAUGGUAGUGCGGGUCUCCCAGUUCCAGCACUCUGGAAGCUGUAUAUAGCAGGAGGACUGUGAAUUCAAGGCAAACCUGGGCUAUAGAGACCCUGUUUGAAAAAGGAUUCUUUUUACUUUUUAAAGCAGUCAGUAAUGAAGUCUGAGGGUAUUUUCCUCCUCCCGUGUGAGCAGAAUUAAGAUGUUGCUGCCUCUCUUCUUGUAUUUCGUUGCCGUACCUAUGAUCUCAUGCUCACUUUGUGUCUAGACAGUUCUACAUCCCUGGUUCUCAGGGGAGGAGGCGAAGAGGAGGAAAUAGGUGAGAUUUGCAGACUUCGAUGUACUUUCUCAAGGAAAGAAACUACAAUGUCAUUUUACUUGCCCUCUGUUUACAUAUCUGUUCUUUUUGAAUCAGUAAAUAUUUUUCCUAGUAGUUUCCACCUUUCAUGGCAGAACUCCACAGAAGGCAGCUCUUGCACAGUUCUUCUCAAAUAAGUGUUCUUUGUAACAUCUUCCUUCCAGAUUUCUCUUUUACUAUAGAAGAGAAUCUGUUAGAAAUUACUAUGAAAGGCACUCUGUAUCGAUUUUUAAAAAUCUGUCACAAAAAAAAAUAAUUAUUUUUUAGAAAUAGUGACAGGGCUCAAACUGCAGCUCUGUGUGUGUUUUAUGUUGGGGUGUUCUUGUUUUCAACAAAGUGGUCUUUUUUGCAGGCACUCCCUUUGCUAGAAGAAAAUAAAGCUUAAGUUUUUAGUGUUUUUCAGACUGACUUAAUUCAUAUCUCUAUCAGGCGUCCUCACUCUCUGCCAGGGCACAGUAAGAGACAGCUGGAGUGAGUCGGGCAGGCACUGGCUCUAGAGCAACAGGGAGAAGCAGAAGCAGAUCCUGGUUUUAACCAUCACACACCGUCAUAGUUCACACAGCACAUGUCCUCCCUUUUGAGAGAGGAUAGGAGAAAAGUAGUUGAAGCAUCAAGAAUGUGGAGAAUCUGUGUGUCUUUGGGUGAAAACUCCCUGCUCUGCAGCGAUUGGUCUCAGGUGCACCUGGUGAGGGAGCCAGCUUUCCAGAUUCCAUCUCGGCAUAGCGCAACCUGUAGAGGAGAACUCCGCCACCAGUUGGCCCAUUACUGCUGAUUUCUGCAGAAGGUAAUGGUCUGCAUAGCUGCUUAGGGAUUAGAAACUGAGUUCCUGUUCUGUUGCUCUCAAGGUGAUGGGGGUGAGAAUUUGCUCCAAAGCCUGCUGGAAGUCCUUAUAACUCUUGGUCCCUCGGCUCUCUCUUGCUACAUAGCCCUUCAGUCCUGACUUUUGAACUUACAGAGUAUGGUCCCAGGCCUAGUGUGCUUUAAGCUCUAUUAAUCCUGCCUUUCCUUUACAGUUAUAGCUGUGUAUGUAUAUGUGUAUCUGUGUGUGUACUGGAUUUUUGUUUUGCUUUUCAAAGCAGGUUUUUCUGUGUAGCCAUGGUUGUCCUGAAACUCACUCUGUAGACCAGGCUGGCCUCAAACUCACAGAGAUCCUCCUGCCUCUGCCUCCCAAGUGUUGGGAUUAAAGGCUCAUGCCACCACUGCCCAGCUGGACUUUGUUUUUUGGCUUUUAUUUCUUGGCCUAAAGUAUCUUACAUUUUCUUUUGCUGCACAAAUUACUUUUAGUGUUUUCACUUGACACUGAGUAAUCGGUGGUGUGCUGUGUAUCAAAGUUUUUAACUUUUGCUUCAUUUAAAUAGUGUGAUUUCAUACAUACCUUCCUUGAUUUCUUGUCAUGUAACUAUUUUGUAAGUAACUGGAAUUUCUCAUUAGAUCUUAGAGCAGUAUUUUAUUAAAUAUUCCAAAGGGAAGACUUUCUUGCGCUCAUUUUGUAAUUUUUAUUUUAAAUAUCUUUACAUUGUCUGUCUAUUGCAUUUAAAGUUUUUAAACUUACAUGGAAUGGA